CUGCAAUGUUGCAUCUCCCCUAUAAAUAGACAUAUGCGGUAUAAACAUGUCCAUCAAGUUCAUCGAGUGAUAAGACCGAGCGCCAUUGUUUAGCUAAACAUUUUGUUGUGUGCCCUAUCCACCAACCAUGAGCUCCACCAAUGUCGUCACGGCCGCCGGAGAGGAGCCAAAAAAGACUUUGGGGGAGGUGGUUGGGUUGCCGGUGAAGGAGGCCUCCGAGAUCAUCAUCAAGGAAAAGCCUGACGGCGAUACGCCGGCAACCAAGGACCUGAGUCCUGACCAUGUCCCAUCUUCACCGACACAGUCGCCAGCGCCCGUUGUGGUUACUAGGGACAUUAAUUUGCUUGGGCAGUAGUAUGCAUGCAUGAUCCAUGUGUGUUCAUGAAUAAGUUAAUUUUAUAAUUUCAAUUAGUACACGAUGAGGCUCAGCGUGUGAUCUGCUUAUGUACUCUGUAUUUCGACCUGUUAUCUUAUGAAAUCUUUCAUAUGAGUA